rnacentral:rRNA from 1 species
UACGUAGGGUGCGAGCGUUGUCCGGAAUUAUUGGGCGUAAAGAGCGCGUAGGCGGUCCGGUAAGUCAGCUGUGAAAGUCAAGGGCUCAACCCUUGAAAGCCGGCUGAUACUGCCGGACUAGAGUCCGGAAGAGGCGAGUGGAAUUCCCGGUGUAGCGGUGAAAUGCGCAGAUAUCGGGAGGAACACCUAUGGCGAAGGCAGCUCGCUGGGACGUUACUGACGCCGAGACGCGAAAGCGUGGGGAGCAAACAGG